AACGAACGCUGGCGGCGCGCCUAAUACAUGCAAGUCGAGCGAGAAGACGUAGCAAUACGUUUGUAAAGCGGCGAACGGGUGAGGAAUACAUGGGUAACCUACCCUCGAGUGGGGAAUAACUAGCCGAAAGGUUAGCUAAUACCGCGUACGCUCCUUGGACUUCGGUUCAGGGAGGAAAGCGAUACCGUGGGUAUCGCGCUCUUGGAUGGGCCCAUGUCCUAUCAGCUUGUUGGUGAGGAACGGCUCACCAAGGCUUCGACGGGUAGCUGGUCUGAGAGGACGAUCAGCCACACUGGCACUGCGACACGGGCCAGACUCCUACGGGAGCAGCAGUAAGGAAUAUUGCGCAAUGGGCGAAAGCCUGACGCAGCGACGCCGCGUGGGGGA
rnacentral:rRNA from 1 species